GAUGAACGCUGGCUACAGGCUUAACACAUGCAAGUCGAGGGGAAACGACGGGGAAGCUUGCUUCCCCGGGCGUCGACCGGCGCACGGGUGAGUAACGCGUAUCCAACCUGCCUCUGACUGAGGGAUAACCCGUCGAAAGUCGGCCUAAUACCUCAUGGCAUCGUCUGCGGGCAUCCAACGACGAUUAAAGAUUUCAUCGGUCAGGGAUGGGGAUGCGUCUGAUUAGCUUGUUGGCGGGGUAACGGCCCACCAAGGCUACGAUCAGUAGGGGUUCUGAGAGGAAGGUCCCCCACAUUGGAACUGAGACACGGUCCAAACUCCUACGGGAGGCAGCAGUGAGGAAUAUUGGUCAAUGGGCGGGAGCCUGAACCAGCCAAGUAGCGUGCAGGAUGACGGCCCUAUGGGUUGUAAACUGCUUUUAUGCGGGGAUAAAGUGAGGGACGUGUCCUUCAUUGCAGGUACCGAAUGAAUAAGGACCGGCUAAUUCCGUG
rnacentral:rRNA from 1 species